AAACGAUUGAAGUCAGUCAUGCUUGCAAGGAAUCAACAAAGUGGUUUUCUUCCUUGUGCACUUCCUUGCUUGGCAGGUUAGCAUCAAUUUUGAUUGUCAUUAAAGAACUGGGGGAAUGUGGCUUCUUCGGGAGUGUUAUAGACCCUGGUAGAUGUGGCGAUUGGGAUUGAGGAUUGCAGCGAAUGCUUCUUGGCUAGUCACCUGGCUUCUGAUGGUCACCUUGCUUUCGAUAGCUUGCUAACGUUGGUGAGAUUUGAUUGUCUAGAUGUUAGUGUGAUCAUAAAUUCGCUAAGGAUGCUGACGUAAUGGCUUUAAACGA
rnacentral:rRNA from 1 species